CGGAUAGAGCCAGCGAAGUCGCUCGUAUUCAGCCAAAGGCCCGGGGCUCAUCGUCGUCGUGUUUCUAAUCGAGCACGGCGGCGACUCUGCUCUGGGUUGAGGUGCAUUUGCGGGCGUUUGCGCUGAGACUUGCGAGGCAGCUGCUGGACGGGCGUUCUAGAGGCUUCCCUAUGGGUUGAACCUGGAUGCUUUGACAGCUGUUUGCCUUGCUCGUACUGGUCUGGCCUACGAACCUGGGCUGUGUUGUUGCCAACGGACCAAGGCAUCGCAUGCGAUGUCUAGUCUUGGGGUUGCAGCAUGGUUUUGUGUUCCCAGAUCGCCUCUCGGUGUAGAAGCUGGUCAUCUCUCCGACCCGUCUUGAAACACGGACCAAGGAGUUUAGCGUAUGCGCGAGUCAUUGGGUGCACAAACCCACAGGCGCAAUGAAAGUAAAGGCUCGGUCGCCGGGCUGACAUGUGAGUGCCACGGCUUCGGCCUAGGCAUGCAGCAUGGUCCCGUUGCAGCCGCUUGCGGCGCAGCGGAGACAGAGCGUAUGCGCUGAG
rnacentral:rRNA from 1 species